CGCGUAGGCGGUUUUGUUAGUCGGAUGUGAAAUCCCCGGGCUUAACCUGGGAACUGCAUUCGAUACUGCAUAACCAGAGUAUGGUAGAGGGAAGUGGAAUUCCGGGUGUAGCGGUGAAAUGCGUAGAUAUCCGGAGGAACACCAGUGGCGAAGGCGACUUCCUGGGCCAAUACUGACGCUGAGGUGCGAAAGCGUGGGGAGCAAACA
rnacentral:rRNA from 1 species